rnacentral:rRNA from 1 species
UACGAAGGGGGCUAUCGUUGUUCGGAAUUACUGGGCGUAAAGGGCGCGUAGGCGGUACUUCAAGUCAGGCGUGAAAGCCCCGGGCUCAACCUGGGAACCGCGCUUGAGACUGGAGAACUAGAGUUCGGGAGAGGAUGGUGGAAUUCCCAGUGUAGAGGUGAAAUUCGUAGAUAUUGGGAAGAACACCGAUGGCGAAGGCAGCCAUCUGGACCGACACUGACGCUGAGGCGCGAAAGCGUGGGGAGCAAACAGG